rnacentral:rRNA from 1 species
CGUGUCGUGAGAUGUUGGGUUAAGUCCCGCAACGAGCGCAACCCUCGCCCUGUGUUGCCAGCACGUCGUGGUGGGAACUCACGGGGGACCGCCGGGGUCAACUCGGAGGAAGGUGGGGAUGACGUCAGAUCAUCAUGCCCCUUACGUCCAGGGCUUCACGCAUGCUACAAUGGCCGGUACAACGGGAUGCGACCUCGUGAGGGGGAGCGGAUCCCUUAAAACCGGUCUCAGUUCGGAUUGGAGUCUGCAACCCGACUCCA